CGGAGUCACUCAUCCCUUAAGCAAGUAGGGUGGGGUUAGGUGCGCGUGCGCGGUUUUAAUACUCCUCCCCGAACUGCCAACUCUUCACGCAUGCGAAGUAGGCCCCGCCCUGCCUGGAUUUACGCGUGCGCACUAACGGGCCUGGUCCCGGAAGACCACACGCGUGCGUGGUGGGGACUACGGUGACAGUGCCCCGGGUGGGGCGAGGGCCAGUCAUGGCGGAGUCCUGGUCUGGGCAGGCCUUGCAGGCUCUGCCGGCCACGGUACUGGGCGCGCUGGGCGCGCUGGGCAGCGAGUUCUUGCGGGAGUGGGAGGCGCAGGACAUGCGCGUGACCCUCUUCAAGCUGCUGCUGCUGUGGUUGGUGUUAAGUCUCCUGGGCAUCCAGCUGGCGUGGGGUUUCUACGGGAAUACAGUGACCGGGUUGUAUCACCGUCCAGGUCUGGGUGGUCAGAAUGGAUCCACGCCUGAUGGCUCCACGCAUUUCCCUUCGUGGUGAGUAAAUCUGUCCAUAUCGCAACCCCAUGCUUGGCAUUCCAAGGACACUCCUGUGCUGGUGACAGAGAGGGGAGUUCUCAGGCUAUAAGCUCACCAGCUUAAUGGCCUUUGCAGUAAGCUUCAAGUCUGCACGUAGAGCUGAGGCUUCAAGUUAGGAUGACACCAAGGUCUGGACAGUCCAUCAGCAUGCUGUUCAGCAGCCUGUAGGAUAGGUGGUGGUAUUGUCAUAAUUUCAGAGAGAUGAAAUGACAGGUUUGUUGGAUUCCACUCCGCACAACCCCCUCAGUUGGGAAGGCAGUAAUCUCUGUCCUUA
rnacentral:sRNA from 1 species